rnacentral:tRNA from 1 species
GCCUGGGUGGCUCAGUCAGUUGAGCAUCUGACUUCGGUUCAAGUCAUGAUCCCGCAGUUCGUGGGAUCGAGCCCCACAUCGGGCU